AUACAUUUUAAUCUCUCUCACCUAUCCCUAACAUAGACAUUGGUGAUUAUAGCUAUGAUAUACUUGCCUCGUUUCGAAUUCUUUUGGCUCUCAUUUAUUUUAUUUUCAAUCAACAGUGCCACGCUACAAAACACAGGUACCCCCCUCCCAUCCACAAAACCCAAACCAAAAUAAUAAUAGUACUACAGAAACUUUAACAAUC
rnacentral:lncRNA from 1 species